UACGAAGGUGGCAAGCGUUACUCGGAAUUACUAGGCGUAAAGGGCAGGUAGGCGGUUUGUUAAGUCUGUUGUGAAAGCUCCCGGCUUAACUGGGAGAGGUCAACAGAAACUAUCAGGCUUGAGUAUAGGAGAGGGUACUGGAAUUCCCGGUGUAGCGGUGAAAUGCGCAGAGAUCGGGAGGAACACCUAUGGCGAAAGCAGGUACCUGGACUAUUACUGACACUCAGCUGCGAAAGCUAGGGGAGCAAACAGG
rnacentral:rRNA from 1 species